rnacentral:rRNA from 1 species
AACGAACGCUGGCGGCAUGCCUAACACAUGCAAGUCGAACGAGACCUUCGGGUCUAGUGGCGCACGGGUGCGUAACGCGUGGGAACCUGCCCUUAGGUUCGGAAUAACUCCCCGAAAGGGGUGCUAAUACCGGAUAAUGUCUUCGGACCAAAGAUUUAUCGCCUUUGGAUGGGCCCGCGUUGGAUUAGCUAGUUGGUAGGGUAAAAGCCUACCAAGGCGACGAUCCAUAGCUGGUCUGAGAGGAUGAUCAGCCACACUGGGACUGAGACACGGCCCAGACUCCUACGGGAGGCAGCAGUAAAGAAUAUUGGACAAUGGGCGAAAGCCUGAUCCAGCAAUGCCGCGUGAGUGAUGAAGGCCUUAGGGUUGUAAAGCUCUUUUACCCGGGAUGAUAAUGACAGUACCGGGAGAAUAAGCUCCGGCUAACUCCGUG